GACGAGGGGUCCUAGCGUUGUUCGGAAUCACUGGGCGUAAAGCGUAUGUAGGCGGGCUUCUAAGUCAGGUGUGAAAUCCCAUGGCUCAACCAUGGAAUUGCAUUUGAAACUGGAAGUCUUGAGUGUGGGAGAGAUUGGUAGAAUACCUGGUGUAGUGGUGAAAUACGUAGAUAUCAGGUGGAAUACCGGUGGCGAAGGCG
rnacentral:rRNA from 1 species